UACGGGGGGGGCGAAGCGUUGUUCGGAAUUACUGGGCGUAAAGGGCUCGAUAGGUGGCCAACUAAGUCGAGACGUGAAAUCCCUCGGCUUAACCGGGGAACUGCGUCGUGAUACUGGAUGGCUUGAGUUUGGGAGAGGGAUGCGGAAUUCCAGGUGUAGCGGUGAAAUGGCGUAGAUAUCGGAGGAACACCGGUGGCGAAGGGCGGCAAUCC
rnacentral:rRNA from 1 species